UGCAACAUGGGACGGAGAAAGGAACUGAAUGUAACAAAAGAGUUCCAGGCUGUAACAAAUGUUUGGACAUGUUUUGUCAUAUUUGAUGAGUGUAGUUCAGAGAUAAUGAUGUUGAGGACAACAUCUAUUUUUGAUGGGGAGUAUGUGACAGGUGGAAUAAUGUGCACUACAUACUGUAAUUCAGAUCCAGUAGAGGGAGCUCUAAACUGCUGCGGUAUGCUGAAGGGCACGUCGUUUUUCUUCCACUCAUUAUACACGUGAGCUGAGGAAAGUUGUGUCCGUGCAUCUUUUAUACUAAUAGCUCCCUUUUCAGACGGAGCUUUUAGCGCCGAUGAGGAACCGCCGCCUGAGCUUGCUGAUCUCCACCGAAGCUGAGAGCUCCUUCCCCGCUGUCUCCCGAAAGCGCCGCUGCUGCUAGUUCGCCGUACACGUCCUCGAGACGACACCGACCUCACCGCACAGCACGAGCCACGCUCACCUUCACCCCCACACUUCCCCUGCAUGGUUAUUUUCAACAAAGAACACUUUUUAUUCACAUUUAAGUCUCUGGGUGUCUGUGUUCAGCCCAUCCGCGAUCCUGCGUUGCUACAACACAUAAAGAGCAUUACAGAAAGUAUGAUAGGCAGAGGCUGUAAACAGAUACACAGGCAAGAGAGUAGGAAAAACAAUAUAGGUAUUAGGCAAGACACAGAGCAGAAUGAGGGAGCAUACUGUUGUAAAAUGGAUGAAAGCACGCCGAUUGUGAAUAAACAGAAAUUUUUAUAUUUCAUGACAGAAGUGACUGUACCUCUCAAGCAAAUACCCAGAUAAAAUAAUAAUUGUGAAAAGUGCAGCAAAGUCUCUUGACAAAAAAGGUUUAACAUGGAAAGAAGUACAUGAGGAAAUGAUCAGGCAGGAAAGACUAAAUAAGGAGGUAGGGUCCUUUACAAGACUAGUCUUAUUCUUAAUGUUACUCCUCCAGUGGAAUGAAGGAAGUUUCAAAUAUAGAUAUAAACCAGACAUUAUAUGCAUCCAAGAAACAUGGUUAAAACCGUUGUUGGACUUUUGUAAUGCAGGGAUAUGUGUGUGAACACAGGGAUAGAGAAAAUGGAGUAGAGGGGGGAUGUGCAAUGCUAAUAAAAAAAAAACAGUAAAAGAAGCAAAAAAGGAUUUAUUGGAAGGAAUGUUGCAAUACAAUAGGAAGAAUGUGACUGUGAGCGACAUGAUUUGCAAAUAUCCAGCAAAACACUUGGAGCCAUUUUCUGAAGCACAUUGUGGUGAAGACGGUGAAAACAUUUUCAGUGGUAAAUGGGGUACUCUUAACCUGAAUUGGAGCCAUUUUCUGAAGUACAGCAUGGUGAAGACGGUGAAAAAUUUGUCAGGUAAGCUUUAAAUAAACAAAGUAAAAUAUUAGAGUUUGUCUUUUUAACAUCCAUUAACACUCAUUUAUUGCAUUUGUGGUUAAGGGGAUACUUUUAUACUGAAUUUUUGAAUUGCUGCGAAUAUUGGUACUUCGUAAAAAAAAAAAAGUAUGCACCAAGUUUGCCCGUGUGUUUUGUAAGUAUAUAUACAUGCGUUGAGUGAUGAGUUUUUUUUUUUUUUCAGAGUAGUAUUGCAAUCCCUGUCAAAAAACAAAAUGCUUCAGUUUUGUACUAAUUGUCUGAAAACCUUUUGUAAACCUUUGUUGAAUGAAGUGAUUUUUUUUCUUAUCAAACUGUACUCAAUUUUUAUGUUUUUUCAAUCAUUGUUUUGCAAGCUCUGUCCAAAACUAAAGUAAAAAAUGCUUUAUUUUGUGCUAAUUGUCUGUGUUGUUUAUUUUAGGAUACUGAAUGUUCGGGAGCAGUGUAGUCAGCAGACCAGUUUUAUUCAAUACCUAGGUUCAACUCAAUUAAUUAUCUUAUGUUAAUGUAAAUGAGCUACAUAAAAAGCUUAAAUGUUAAUUUGAAUCAACUUGCAAUUACUAGGUAGAUUCUAUUGGUGUUAGAUUUUUUAAGUAAAAACUGGUGACUCAACUCAUAUUUAUGUGUACAUAACAAAGGUUUUCUUGUUAAUGUUACUGAAAAUUACUUCAAGUUGAAUUUACUUAAAAAGUGUGAUGCAAAAAUGGUGCAUAUAUAUUUUAAGUAAAUCCAACACAUCAUUUUUUUCAGUGUGGGAUAAAGAGGGACUGGGGUUACCCUGUCCUGGAACAAGGAGGAAUUAUAGCUGUUACUGAUGAGGAUAAAGCAAAUAUGCUAGUCAGUACACUAGCUAAAAUACACAGCACUGGAAAUAUGACAUCUGAGGCCAGACAGGAAAAGGAAAAAGAAAGCAUGGAUGGAAAAAUACCAUCACACCCAUUUCUAGGUCAGACCUCUAGGUGUAAGAGUAUUAUCAAGCUGGCAACAUGUGUCAAUAUAGUGGGGUGGGAAUUGGCCAGAUAAAGGGGUGAGUAAAGUGUCUGAACCCCUCAAAACUUCUACAGCCUGGGAAAACAUGCGAACCAGAGACUCAGGAACAUGAAAAAUCAAUUACCAUGUCACCAUAUCAUAUAUGUCAUGCCCUAAGAUAAGUUGAUAGUAUCUACUGUAAGAAAAAGGACAAAGUCUUCCAACUUGAUGAAAAAAAGUAUAUAUAGCACAAUAUAUACCACCACACUAUAUAGCACUAGUUGGCCCCCACUCCUGCUGUUCUCUGAGGUGACGCCCAGACAUGUUAAUCAGGUUAAAUCAUUAUGCUGCCUCUAUAAAGAAAAUGAGUUGUUUGUUGCCUUUUGGCUGUAACGGUUCCCGAACCUUCACCCACAGACUUUCCGGCACUUGCUAACCAUUUAUCACACCCCAUCUAUGGUGAUUUUCUUAUGAUUACACCAUUGAGUGCAAGCAUUAAGACAAUGACUCAACUUACUGUACAUAAGGAGAUAGGCACUCAUUGUCAUGUGAAGAUCCUUGUAUCAUACAAUGAGCUAAGCCUAAAUACAGCCUACAUGGAUAUACGGUACAUCGUGUGGUUGAGACAGGACAUUGAUAUUCAUCAUAUAGGAACUGCUACAUGUAAGGCAAAUGUGAACUUUUUUCUAACACACUAUGGGACAUUAAUACAGAAAUUUACUGUGGCCCAAAUAUGGCCAUAAAUACGCAUGUGUGGUACAUAUCCAGUAGCCUGACGCUACUUAAGAUUAAAAUAACGGAAUAUCAACAAAAUCAAAAUUAGAACAUUUGAAUAUAAAACACUUUAUCUAACAUAAACGCACAAACUACAACCUACACAAAAUGCUUACGCUGGAAAAAAAAAAAGCAAAGGUUUGGUGGAAGCACAAUGGAUUAAAAUGGAUUUAUACACCUGCUCUGUGGGAUCGUACAAUAAGUACAAAUCACAG